rnacentral:rRNA from 1 species
AUGUGAAUUCCUAUAUCAUAGCAUUAAUGCACCAUAUACCAUUAGAAAUCUGCAGUUUAGAGCACUCGGUCUAGAGUAGUAUUGGGAUGGGUGAUCGCCUAGGAAGUCCUAGUAUUUUACUUU